AGACAGGUGCCAAGCCAGAGGCUGCAGGGACGACAGCAAAUGACAGAGGUGAUCAGGUCCCUGCUGCCACCUCCUGGGAUGGAGCCCUGAGGAGCCUUAAAGAGACCCUAUGCUUCCCCCACUUUGGCUGGAAUCACAGCCUCCUCCAUGCACUGAAGCCCAGGGCUGUGCAGCAGCCUCUCUCCUUGGACCUCCACUGGGCCCUGGAGGGACCAGGCAGAGCCCCUAGGACCAUGGUUGGACUGAAGCCUUCAGAGGUGCCUCCCACAACGGCUGUGAAGUUCCUGGGGGCGGGCACAGCAGCCUGCUUUGCUGACCUCCUCACCUUUCCACUGGACACGGCCAAGGUCCGCCUGCAGAUCCAGGGGGAGAACCAGGCGGCCCGGAGCACGCAGUACCGCGGGGUGCUGGGCACCAUCCUGACCAUGGUGCGCACCGAGGGCCCCCGCAGCCCCUACAAAGGGCUGGUCGCAGGCCUACAGCGCCAGAUGAGCUUCGCCUCCGUCCGCAUCGGCCUCUACGACUCCGUCAAGCAGUUCUACGCCCCCAAGGGAUCGGACCACUGCAGCAUCACUACCCGGAUUUUGGCGGGCUGCACCACCGGGGCCAUGGCAGUGACCUGUGCCCAGCCCACGGAUGUGGUGAAGAUCCGAUUUCAGGCCAGCGUGCACACUGGGCCCGGGAGCAAUAGGAAGUACAGUGGGACAAUGGAUGCCUACAGGACCAUUGCCAGGGAGGAAGGGGUUCGGGGCCUGUGGAAAGGAACUCUGCCCAACAUCACGAGGAAUGCCAUCAUCAACUGUGCUGAGAUGGUGACCUACGACAUCAUCAAGGAGAAGCUGCUAGACUGCCACCUGCUCACCGACAACUUCCCCUGCCACUUCAUCUCUGCCUUUGGAGCUGGCUUCUGUGCCACAGUGGUGGCCUCCCCAGUGGACGUGGUGAAGACCCGGUAUAUGAACUCACCCCCAGGCCAGUACCGCAGCCCCUUCGACUGUAUGCUGAAGAUGGUGACCCAGGAGGGCCCCACAGCCUUCUAUAAGGGGUGAGCCUCCCCUCCUGCUGCCAGUACGCCCUCCUAGAGGCACAGGCCUCCCUCCCCACCUCCCUUCCUUCCCCCCACGUGGACUGUGUCUACCAUGGGUCCACCUGGAAACACACUGGUGAACAGCACAGGUGUAAAUGCCACAAAGGACAAGUAUAAAGACCUACGGAAAUGAUUUUUAGAAAGAGUGGACCAGGUCUGAUUUGGAGAGUCAGGGAGGCUUAUCUGAGAAAAAGAUGUCUCAGCAUAGGUCAAAGUGCCAUCCCCAAACGUCCUGGGCAGGGGAGGAGGAGGGAAAGGUGGUUGGUAAUCCUGAGACUUUUCCCUGACCCACCGCCAUCACUGUGGAUCACCACAGUCGGCAGCCCUAAUGCCCAAUGUGCUUCAUGUUUUCUUGCUUCUCUGCCUUGGCGUUUACUGUUCCCUCUACGUGGAAUGCCUUUCCUGCGCCAUCCACAUGCACUACAUCUUAGCUGUCCUUCAAGACUAGUUCAAAUGCCACCUCCUCCCUAACACUCUCAGGUGUAAAUUUUCCCCCUCUGUGAACUUCAGUGAUAUGUCCUCCACACCAUUUUUAUGGGAUCUACCACUUCCUACUUUGUAUCAAUAUUAUAGUAUUUGUAAGUUUAAAUUAUCCCCCAUGCUAGAGUGCAGGCUCCUUGCAGCCAAGGACUGUGGCUUAUACAGUUGACCCUUGAACAAUGCGAGGGUUAGGGGCAUGGACCCCAUGCAGUUGAAAAUACGUGGACAGGGCUUCCCUGGUGGCGCAGUGGUUGAGAGCCCACCUGCCGAUGCAGGGGACACGGGUUCGUGCCCCGGUCCGGGAAGAUCCCACAUGCCGCGGAGCGGCUGGGCCCGUGAGCCAUGGCCGCUGAGCCUGCGCGUCCGGAGCCUGUGCUCCGCAACGGGAGAGGUCGCAGCGGUGAGAGGCCCGCGUACCGCAAAAAAAAAAAAGAAAAAAGAAAAUACGUGGACAAUUUAUAGUCGGCCCUCCAUACAUGAGGUUCCUCCAUUGCCAUUGUUCCUCCAUAUCCCUGGUUCCACAUCCACAGAUUCAACCAACCACGGAUCCAACCAACCGCAGAUCAUACAGUACUGUAGUAUUUAACAUUGAAAAAAGAUCUGUGUACAAGUGGACCCUCACGGUUCAAACCUGUGUUGUUCAAGGGUCAACUGUAUACACCUUCCAUAUCCCAGAGUCCCCAGCACCAAGGCAGCACUCUAUAGUGUAGUCAUGAACAAUCAUCGUGACUGCUAAGUCCCUAAGUAUGAGGCCUUUUGCUAAGUACUUCACAAAUACUGUCUCACCCCCCUGAACUGGGCCGUGUUCUCCACAUUUGCCGGGGAAGAGACUGAGGCUCAGAAAGGUCACGGAACUUGUCCCAGCUCACAAAGUUUGAACGGCAGAGCCACGGAUCAAACCCUGACCAUCAGAUACCACCCACAUCGUCCAUCCCACGCUAAGCUCUUUGCUUGGCCCUCUUACCUCCACCACUGAGGAGAGUUUUCUGGCGCCCAGCGUUAGAUUGGGCCCAACAAGCAGCCAUGUUCUCGACCCUGGGAUGACAUCACAAAACUGAGUUCCAGCUGACAGUUAUUUUCCUGUGCUGGGCCCUGUACUGUGCUUUGAAGAGCAGCCAACCAGUAAGGGACAUUUAUUGAGGAUUUACUAAUACCGAGCCCUGUGCUAUGUGCUGUACCUUAACUCAUUUAAUCCUCUCGACAACUCUGUGCGGUAGGUGUUGCUGUCUUCAUGUUACAGAUAAGUAAGCUGAGGCUGAGAAAGAUUAAGUUCAAGAAGCUGGUCAAGGGCUUCCCUGGUGGCGCAGUGAUUGAGAGCCCGCCUGCCGAUGCAGGGGACACGGGUUCAUGCCCUGGUCCGGGAAGAUCCCACAAGCCGCGGAGCGGCUGGGCCCGUGAGCCAUGGCCGCUGAGCCAGCGCGUCUGGAGCCUGUGCUCCGCAACGGGAGAGGCCACGACAGUGAGAGGCCCGCGUACCGGGAAAAAAAAAAAAAAAAAAGAA